rnacentral:misc_RNA from 1 species
GGCGGAAAAGGAAAUUCAAGCGGCAAGAAAUAGAUGCCAAACAAUCAUAGAUAGAAUACACAGGUUACCUGCUCGCACCAGCAUCACCAUUUCGUGCUCCCGCACUCUCCUCAAAUUGGCCCUGUCUGAGCUCCAUUUCCUCUCUCGAUCUCCUUCUCCUACUCUUUCCCUCAGUGUCAACGUGGGCCACCUGGAGGCCGUCGUUCACCUUCUCGAGCAGCCAUUUGUGACGGCGGUUUCGCGUGUUUGCAAGCCAAUUCCUGUGUCGUCUUCUUCUUCUUCUUCUUCGCCUGCGCCUGCGCAGACAUCGUCUUCUAUCGAAACGACAUCCCGUGCGUUAAUCAAGCUCAAUCACCCUGUGGUUAUCUUGAUUUCUUCCGAUGGGUUCCGGUUCGGGUACCAAUUCAAGACUCCAACGCCCAAUAUUCACCGUUUGAUCGCCAACGGGACUGAGGCCGUGACGGGUUUGAUUCCAGUAUUUCCUACUGUUACUUUCCCUAAUCAUUACUCAAUUGUUACUGGGCUUUACCCUGCUUAUCAUGGCAUUAUCAACAACCGUUUUGUCGAUCCAAUCACCGGUGAAGUCUUUACUAUGAGAAGCCACGAGCCCAAGUGGUGGCUUGGUGAGCCACUCUGGGAGACUGUGGCCAAUCAUGGGUUAAGGGCUGCUACCUAUUUUUGGCCUGGGGCUGAGGUGCAUAAAGGUUCUUGGAAUUGCCCUGAAGGGUUUUGUAUGUUUUAUAAGGAGUCAGUUCCAUUUGAGGAACGGGUCGAUAAGAUUUUGAGCUAUUUUGAUUUGCCUAGCGCUGAAAUUCCUGUGUUUAUGACAUUGUAUUUUCAUGAUCCUGAUCAUCAGGGCCACCUGGUGGGACCUGAUGAUCCAGAGAUAACUGAAGCUGUUUCUGGAAUUGAUAAGAUGAUUGGGAGGUUGAUUAAUGGGCUAGAAAAGAGAGGGGUUUUUGAGGAUGUUCAUAUUAUUAUGGUGGGCGAUCAUGGCAUGGUUGGUACAUGUGAUAAGAAGUUGAUAUUUCUGGAUGAUUUGGCCCAUUGGAUCAAAAUUCCAGCUGAAUGGGUACAGUACUAUACUCCAGUGCUCUCAAUUCGCCCCCCUCCAGGUGUGUCACCAUCGAGCGUUGUUGGGAAGAUAAACGAAGGACUGCAGUCGGGAAAAGUUCAGAACGGAAAGCAUUUGAAAGUGUAUCUUAAGGAGGAGCUGCCUAGUAGGCUUCAUUAUUCGGUAAGUGACAGAAUUCCACCGAUAAUAGGGCUGGUUGAAGAGGGUUUUGAGGUGGAACAGAAGAGAUCAAAACAUCAAGAAUGUGGAGGAGCACAUGGCUAUGACAAUGCAUUUUUCUCCAUGAGGACGAUCUUCAUUGGUCAUGGACCGCAUUUUGCAAGGGGACGAAAGGUGCCAUCUUUUGAGAAUAUUCAGAUAUACAACUUGGUUACUUCAAUUCUCAAUAUUAAGGGUGCUCCCAAUAAUGGGUCUCUAUCAUUCCCAGGAUCUGUUCUUUUGCCUACUCCUUGGUAAGUAUCUCCUAACCAGUUCGAUAGUUGUCUCAUCUUCUCAAAUGAAUUGCAGUUGGGCUGGGCAAUUUUAUUGUGACGCCACAUGAGCAUAUAUUUCUCAAGAACGAUGUUUAUAGAUGUGUAUGUUAUGGUAGUGCAGAAGAUAAUUGAAUUAGUAUUGAUCCUUGCAAUUGUUGAUCAUACCCAGCGAUGUUAUCGCUUAGUUCAAGCAUUUCAUCUGUUUUGAGCUGCAGAUAAACGAGUGGAACCUGGUAUGUAAAAUUAUUGAAUGUGUACUUUUGUAGCCUGCUACUUUGGGCUUUGUUUAGCCAGAUUUAACAGCAAUUAAAGGACCCCUUUCCCUUUUUAGGGAUUUUCAGCUUUGCUGUUUUUAUAAUACGGAUAUUGGAUGCAUAACUAGGACCAGGAUAUGCUUUAUUUUCAAAUGAACCUGAAUUUUGGUAAGUGGCUUGAUUCUUAGAAUUUGAAUGCUUCUUGUAAUAUCUAUUGCCAGCCAAAAGAAAAAUGGCAGAAAUGGAGAAACCCAAUUCUACCCAAGAUCAGUGAGCUUUCAUUUCUACGAAAUUAACUAUGCUAUUUCUUUGUAUUAUUAUGCUAAUGUUUGUGUGAGAAGUUAGUCUCUACACUUAGUUGUCAGUAAAUAGGUUUUUCGCUUUUAUGAUCAACUUCCUCGUUCUCACAUUAUAAGUUGAAAGGAAC